GUGCUCACUACGGCAGCACAUAUACUAAAAAUUGGAGUGAUACAGAGAAGAUUACCCUGGCCCCUGUGCAAGGAUGACACACAAAUUCAUGAAGUGUUCCAUAUUUUU
ensembl:snRNA U6 U6 spliceosomal RNA